CCGAGUUUACAACUCCCAAACCCCUGUGAACAUACCUGUUUUGUUGCUUCGGCGGUGCCCUCGCUCUCGUGGCGAGGCCCGCCAGAGGACCCAAACAAACUCUUUGACUUUUGAUCUAGGAUUAUACUUCUGAGUGAUAUACAAAAUAAAUCA
rnacentral:misc_RNA from 1 species